rnacentral:rRNA from 1 species
UCUGGUAAUAAUGGCGAGAAGGUCACACCCGUUCCCAUACCGAACACGGAAGUUAAGCUUCUCAGCGCCGAUGGUAGUUGGGACCUUGUCCCUGUGAGAGUAGGACGUUGCCAGGC